rnacentral:rRNA from 1 species
UACGGAAGGCAGCAGUGGGGAAUAUUGCACAAUGGGCGAAAGCCUGAUGCAGCUAUGCCGCGUGUAUGAAGAAGGCCUUAGGGUUGUAAAGUACUUUCAUCGGGGAGGAAAAAACAAAACUAAUAAUUUUAUUUCUUGACGUUACCCGAAAAAGAAGCACCGGCUAACUCCGUGCCAGCAGCCGCGGUAAUACGGAGGGUGCUAGCGUUAAUCAGAAUUACUGGGCGUAAAGAGCACGUAGGUGGUUUUUUUAAGUCAGAUGUGAAAUCCCUGGGCUUAACCUAGGAACUGCAUUUUGAAACUGAAAUACUAGAGUAUCGUAGAGGGAGGUAGAAUUCUAGGUGUAGCGGUGAAAUGCGUAGAUAUCUGGAGGAAUACCUGUGGCGAAAGCGGCCUCCUAAACGAAUACUGACACUGAGGUGCGAAAGCGUGGGGAGCAAACGAGGGAUUAGAUAC